AUGAACGCUAGCUACAGGCUUAACACAUGCAAGUCGAGGGGCAGCAUGGUCUUAGCUUGCUAAGGCCGAUGGCGACCGGCGCACGGGUGAGUAACACGUAUCCAACCUUCCGUCUACUCUUGGACAGCCUUCUGAAAGGAAGAUUAAUACAAGAUGGCAUCAUGAGUUCACAUGUUCACAUGAUUAAAGGUAUUCCGGUAGACGAUGGGGAUGCGUUCCAUUAGAUAGUAGGCGGGGUAACGGCCCACCUAGUCUUCGAUGGAUAGGGGUUCUGAGAGGAAGGUCCCCCACAUUGGAACUGAGACACGGUCCAAACUCCUACGGGAGGCAGCAGUGAGGAAUAUUGGUCAAUGGGCGAGAGCCUGAACCAGCCAAGUAGCGUGAAGGAUGACUGCCCUAUGGGUUGUAAACUUCUUUUAUAAAGGAAUAAAGUCGGGUAUGGAUACCCGUUUGCAUGUACUUUAUGAAUAAGGAUCGGCUAACUCCGUGCCAGCAGCCGCGGUAAUACGGAGGAUCCGAGCGUUAUCCGGAUUUAUUGGGUUUAAAGGGAGCGUAGAUGGAUGUUUAAGUCAGUUGUGAAAGUUUGCGGCUCAACCGUAAAAUUGCAGUUGAUACUGGAUAUCUUGAGUGCAGUUGAGGCAGGCGGAAUUCGUGGUGUAGCGGUGAAAUGCUUAGAUAUCACGAAGAACUCCGAUUGCGAAGGCAGCCUGCUAAGCUGCAACUGACAUUGAGGCUCGAAAGUGUGGGUAUCAAACAGGAUUAGAUACCCUGGUAGUCCACACGGUAAACGAUGAAUACUCGCUGUUUGCGAUAUACUGCAAGCGGCCAAGCGAAAGCGUUAAGUAUUCCACCUGGGGAGUACGCCGGCAACGGUGAAACUCAAAGGAAUUGACGGGGGCCCGCACAAGCGGUGGAGCAUGUGGUUUAAUUCGAAGCAACGCGAAGAACCUUACCAAAUCUUGACAUCCCUCUGACCGGCGAGUAAUGUCGCCUUUCCUUCGGGACAGAGGAGACAGGUGGUGCAUGGUUGUCGUCAGCUCGUGUCGUGAGAUGUUGGGUUAAGUCCCGCAACGAGCGCAACCCUUAUUGCCAGUUACUACGUAAGAGGACUCUGGCGAGACUGCCGUUGACAAAACGGAGGAAGGUGGGGAUGACGUCAAAUCAUCAUGCCCUUUAUGUCUUGGGCUACACACGUACUACAAUGGCUAUAACAAAGAGAAGCGAGACAGUGAUGUGGAGCAAAACUCAAAAAAAUAGUCUCAGUUCGGAUUGAAGGCUGAAAUUCGCCUUCAUGAAGCCGGAAUUGCUAGUAAUGGCAGGUCAGCAUACUGCCGUGAAUACGUUCCCGGGCCUUGUACACACCGCCCGUCACACCAUGAGAGUUGGGGAUACCCGAAGCCUGUGAGCCAACAGUUAAAUGAGGCAGCAGUCGAAGGUAGAAUCAAUGAUUGGGGUG
rnacentral:rRNA from 1 species